AUGCAGGUUGAAUACCGGGCGCUGAUGGAGAACAAGACAUGGCGGCUCGUCCCUUGUCCCCCCGGUGCCAACAUAGUCACCGGCAAGUGGUUGUUCCAUCACAAGUUCAAGGCUGGCGACACUCUGGAGCGAUACAAGGCGAGGUGGGUCAUCCGUGGCUUCUCCCAACGGCCGGGUGUCUACUUCGACGAGACCUUCUCCCCGGUCGUCAAGGCUGCUAGUAUCCGUGUGGUGCUCACAAUCGCUGCAUCGCAUGGGUGGCCGGUCCACCAAAUGGACGUCAACAACGCGUUUCUUCACGGGCGCCUCUCCGAGCAAGUCUACUGCCAGCAACCCACUGGGUUCGUCGAUGGCGACCACCCCGACCACGUGUGCCUCCUCGACAAAUCCCUCUACGGCCUCAAGCAGGCGCCCCGUGCCUGGUUCGCUCGGUUU
rnacentral:rRNA from 1 species